GGGGCUGUAGCUCAGUUGGUAGAGCGCCUGCUUUGCAAGCAGGAUGUCAGGAGUUCGAGUCUCCUCUGCUCCA
rnacentral:tRNA from 3 species